rnacentral:rRNA from 1 species
AUUGAACGCUGGCGGAAUGCUUUACACAUGCAUGUCGAACGGCAGCACGGGGGCAACCCUGGUGGCGAGUGGCGAACGGGUGAGUAAUACAUCGGAACGUGCCCGGUCGUGGGGGAUAACGUAGCGAAAGUUACGCUAAUACCGCAUACGAUCUGAGGAUGAAAGCGGGGGACCUUCGGGCCUCGCGCGAUCGGAGCGGCCGAUGUCAGAUUAGGUAGUUGGUGGGGUAAAGGCCUACCAAGCCGACGAUCUGUAGCUGGUCUGAGAGGACGACCAGCCACACUGGGACUGAGACACGGCCCAGACUCCUACGGGAGGCAGCAGUGGGGAAUUUUGGACAAAGGGCGCAAGCCUGAUCCAGCCAUUCCGCGUGCAGGACGAAGGCCUUCGGGUUGUAAACUGCUUUUGUAUGGAACGAAAAGGCUCUGGCUAAUACCUGGGGCUCAUGACGGUACCGUAAGAAUAAGCACCGGCUAACUACGCG